rnacentral:tRNA from 1 species
GGAGAUGUAAGAGAACGACAGAUUUACCUUUACAGGAGAUCUGAAUCGCUCUGAAUGUGAAGAAGUGUCCGGAGGAGCAGCAGGUGAGAGAUGUGCAGAAACACCGCGAGCAAAACAAACACACCAGAUCCACGUGCAGCAUCAGACGGACUGCUGUCAUUACUCACUGACAGCGCGACGCACGCGGAAACUUACUUACAGAGUAAGGGAUGAGUUUGAUCAGAAGCAGAGCUCUGGGACGUGUGGACAGACUUUCACUGUAAUGAUGGACAUCCGCUGAUGGACAGUCUGUGCAAAAGUAUAACCGCUGCGGGUCACGGUGCUGGAAGCUCCAGGGGGAGACCGUACUGAUAUCCCCCUUCUUCAGGCGCGCCUUCACACACUCCAGCAUUCACUCGUAUCGCAGAGACCCGGCUGGGAUCAAACCAGCAACCUCUGAACCCGUGAGGCAGCGCUCUUACCUGCGAGCCACAGGUCUCUUGCUGGAACAUGUGAAGGAACUUAUAUUUCACUGUUAACUUGUAAUUCCACAAUAAACUAGUUAAAGCUUUCAAUUGUGUGAGUGUCAUGCUUCAAUCAUAGCCUUGCACGCAAUGAACACUGUUUAGCCACUAGUGCCACUUACGCUGAGAAAUGGCAUUCGGGGCACUUUGUUGGGUUCUCAACAAUUGAACAUAAGCAUUAAUGGGGUUCAAACUCAGAUCUCCUUGAUUAAACCACAAUGCUUUAUGAACUGAGCUACUAAGCGUGAUGUGUUAAACUGUGUUUUGGAUGGUAUUUUGUUGAGAUCUUUGUUUUAAAUGAAAAGAACCAUUAAUAUCAGUGAGAUCUGUCUGGGAUCGAACCAACAACAUCUGAAACCAUGAAACAGCUCUUUUAUCUGUGAG